rnacentral:rRNA from 1 species
GAUGAACGCUGGCGGCGUGCCUAAUACAUGCAAGUCGAGCGAACGGACGAGAAGCUUGCUUCUCUGAUGUUAGCGGCGGGCGGGUGAGUAACACGUGGAUAACCUACCUAUAAGACUGGGAUAACUUCGGGAAACCGGAGCUAAUACCGGAUAAUAUUUUGAACCGCAUGGUUCAAAAGUGAAAGACGGUCUUGCUGUCACUUAUAGAUGGAUCCGCGCUGCAUUAGCUAGUUGGUAAGGUAACGGCUUACCAAGGCAACGAUGCAUAGCCGACCUGAGAGGGUGAUCGGCCACACUGGAACUGAGACACGGUCCAGACUCCUACGGGAGGCAGCAGUAGGGAAUCUUCCGCAAUGGGCGAAAGCCUGACGGAGCAACGCCGCGUGAGUGAUGAAGGUCUUCGGAUCGUAAAACUCUGUUAUUAGGGAAGAACAUAUGUGUAAGUAACUGUGCACAUCUUGACGGUACCUAAUCAGAAAGCCACGGCUAACUACGUGCCAGCAGCCGCGGUAAUACGUAGGUGGCAAGCGUUAUCCGGAAUUAUUGGGCGUAAAAGCGCGCGUAGGCGGUUUUUUAAGUCUGAUGUGAAGCCCACGGCUCAACCGUGGAGGGUCAUUGGAAACUGGAAAACUUGAGUGCAGAAGAGGAAAGUGGAAUUCCAUGUGUAGCGGUGAAAUGCGCAGAGAUAUGGAGGAACACCAGUGGCGAAGGCGACUUUCUGGUCUGUAACUGACGCUGAUGUGCGAAAGCGUGGGGAUCAAACAGGAUUAGAUACCCUGGUAGUCCACGCCGUAAACGAUGAGUGCUAAGUGUUAGGGGGUUUCCGCCCCUUAGUGCUGCAGCUAACGCAUUAAGCACUCCGCCUGGGGAGUACGACCGCAAGGUUGAAACUCAAAGGAAUUGACGGGGACCCGCACAAGCGGUGGAGCAUGUGGUUUAAUUCGAAGCAACGCGAAGAACCUUACCAAAUCUUGACAUCCUUUGACAACUCUAGAGAUAGAGCCUUCCUCUUCGGGGGACAAAGUGACAGGUGGUGCAUGGUUGUCGUCAGCUCGUGUCGUGAGAUGUUGGGUUAAGUCCCGCAACGAGCGCAACCCUUAAGCUUAGUUGCCAUCAUUAAGUUGGGCACUCUAAGUUGACUGCCGGUGACAAACCGGAGGAAGGUGGGGAUGACGUCAAAUCAUCAUGCCCCUUAUGAUUUGGGCUACACACGUGCUACAAUGGACAAUACAAAGGGCAGCGAAACCGCGAGGUCAAGCAAAUCCCAUAAAGUUGUUCUCAGUUCGGAUUGUAGUCUGCAACUCGACUACAUGAAGCUGGAAUCGCUAGUAAUCGUAGAUCAGCAUGCUACGGUGAAUACGUUCCCGGGUCU